CCUACGGGAGGCAGCAGUAGGGAAUCUUCCACAAUGGGCGAAAGCCUGAUGGAGCAACGCCGCGUGGGUGAAGAAGGUCUUCGGAUCGUAAAACCCUGUUGUUAGAGAAGAAAGUGCGUGAGAGUAACUGUUCACGUUUCGACGGUAUCUAACCAGAAAGCCACGGCUAACUACGUGCCAGCCGCCGCGGUAAUACGUAGGUGGCAAGCAUUAUCCUGAUUUAUUGGGCGUAAAGGGAACGCGGGCGGUCUUUUAAGUCUGAUGUGAAAGCCUUCGGCUUAACCGGGGUAGUGCAGUGGAAACUGGGAGACUUGAGUGCAGAAGAGGAGAGUGGAACUCCAUGUGUAGCGGUGAAAUGCGUAGAUAUAUGGAAGAACACCAGUGGCGAAGGCGGCUCUCUGGUCUGUAACUGACGCUGAGGUUCGAAAGCGUGGGUAGCAAACAGGAUUAGAUACCCGAGUAGUC
rnacentral:rRNA from 1 species